rnacentral:lncRNA from 1 species
AGCGAGCCUUACUUCUGUGUUCACUUAGCAGUGGUGACAUGUAGCCAGCCUUCUUUGUUGGAAGCCCUUUGCAGACUGCAACGACACUGUUUUUUGUUCCUCAUGCUUGGAAGUCUUCCUUCUACCUUCAAUCACCCCUCUCUGUGGUCCAUUCACUGAACUGCUGAUUGUCGCUUUAUACAUUGAAUAAAUUCUAGGGUCCUGGUCUGUGUAAUGAAGGCAUCGGAGAUAACGAUUCCUGAAUCCUAUGGCGUCUUUUAGGCUUUGUUUCAAGCCUGAGGAUGUAGGGACUAUAUCAGGCGCAUCAUCAGCAUCAGGUUCAGCACUCUGCAUCCCACUCCCCCGGCACCAAAGCAAACAACAAAAAUAUACACCGUACACGCAGUUCUUAGCAGCCGAUUCCCUCCCAGGCAUCAGAGCAGGGUACAGGCUCCAGGGUGAAGACUCCCACAGUGGAUGUGAGUUUUCAUUUAGUCUGUGCCCAGAGGUUUGGUCCUCUGUAUCGUGCUGCUCUCUACAGAUUUAUGAUCCCAGAAAAAAGGUGCCUCUGAUUAAAACUGGCAGAUUGAAGUGCAAUUGAAUUUGGUAUCCAUCUGCCUUAUGAGCCUAGACUGGAAAAAGAUUAGCUUCUCCGCCCACCAACCUCUGUGGGAGGGGUUGUUUAAUUGCUAACACCUGAAUGAGAGCGCCUACGGUAACAUGGCCCACGCUUUAAAAUCCUCUUGCAGUUUUUGCUGGAAAUGAUGGUAUAUACCUCUAAUCCCAGUACUGGGGAAGCAGAGAGAGGCAGAUGGAUAUCUGCGAGUUGAAUUCCAACCUGGUCUACAUAGUUCCAAGACAGCCUAGGCUCUAUAGAUAAAGUCUUAAAAGAAAAAAAAAAUUCUUGGACAACAGAUUUUGUGGGAGAAAUAGUGUAUUUCUUAUUUUUUAUUUUUUUUAUUUUUUGGUCCCUAGAGGAUCAGAGCUGUGUUUGAGGAUUGUAUUUUUGUGGGAGAUUGAUAAACUAUUUCUGCUUACACUAAUAUUUACUACAUAGGAAAAUAAAAAUCUUUUUUUUUUCUUAAGUAAAAGCAGUAAAGUUUAAUUAGUUAAAAACAAGUUGUGGGUGGGAGGGGCUUAGGGUCAGCAUCACUUCUGGGAGCCAAGGAACUGAGCACUCAGGAGAAGUACACCAGAUGCUCCCACUGUGCCUCCAAGCUACUGAGCACAGAGUGUGUCCUCUACCCAGCACCAGGUAAACUUCUUGUCAGUGUUAGCUCAGAGGCCCACAGGGCACAGAGUCCCUAUCUGUACCUCCUCCUGAGGCAUCUGGAGACCUCCUCAGGUAAACAGGGACAAAUCUCCUGCCACAGGCAGCACUAGAAGCCCCAGGUGGAGUCUGAAGGGAGGAGGCAUCUUAAGAAGAGCCAUCUAUAAGGUCAGGACCUGAGGCACAAAGUGAGCAAGAGAAGACGCAUUUUGUCCCCAGCUAGGGAGAAGGGUCAGGACACAGAUAGACCAAGCUCACAGAAAGCAGAUUAUCUAAAGAGCAGGUCUGAUUAGGGUAGGAGGUGCUGCAGAACUAGAAACUUGAGGCACAAGCAGAGGGGUAGGAGCAAAGUCUGCCCUGAGGGCACAGGGGCAGGAGCCAGCCGGGCUAUCAAGACCUCCCAGCAGCUUCCAUCAGUCACCCUCCCUCACAUCAGCAUUAGGAUCAGUUGCUCUGUGUCACCAACCUGGGACUGUGCCACUAAUCUCCAGAGCAUGGCAUCUGUUCUCCAGUGUGUGUUCAUGGAGUCUAAUCUCCACAUCUUGGGUAGACAGUUCAAGUUCACGGGAGGGAAGGAGGUAGGGUCCUAGACAGUAUCUGGUCACCUGCCACAAGUGGACAGUUAUACAGACUCCAAGCCUGUCCCAAAAUGGCGGAUGAGGACAAGCUUCCAGUUUUGCAACCAUCCACGGUUUAUGAUGCUCGUCUUCAUAGAUGCCCUGUCUUGUGAAGACCAGGAUGUGUGGGAGUGACCGCUGGGGAAGAGUAACUGCAUAAGCCAUAGUAGUCGAAAAUACAAAUCUGAUUCCUCAAUUGCAGUUAUAUUUAGUUUUUGAGGGGUUGGCACUGGUGAACUGGAGAUUAUUAUAGUCUGAAAUCUAUAUAUAGGGACAUUCAAAUUAAAUGUGGUAUGAGUCCACAUCG